CGGUGGAUGAUGUGGAUUAAUUCGAUGCAACGCGAAAACCUUACCUACCUUGACAUGUCCGGAAUCCCGAAGAGAUUUGGAGUGCUCGCAAGAGAGCCGGAACACAGGUGCUGCAUGGCUGUCGUCAGCUCGUGUCGUGAGAUGUUGGGUUAAGUCCCGCAACGAGCGCAACCCUUGUCAUUAGUUGCCAUCAUUUGGUUGGGCACUCUAAUGAGACUGCCGGUGACAAACCGGAGGAAGUGGGGAUGACGUCAAGUCCUCAUGGCCCUUAUGGGUAGGGCUUCACACGUCAUACAAUGGUCGGUACAGAGGGUUGCCAACCCGCGAGGGGGAGCUAAUCCCACAAAGCCGAUCGUAGUCCGGAUCGCAGUCUGCAACUCGACUGCGUGAAGUCGGAAUCGCUAGUAAUCGUGGAUCAGCAUGUCACGGUGAAUACGUUCCCGGGUCUU
rnacentral:rRNA from 1 species